rnacentral:rRNA from 1 species
AAUCAACGCUGGCGGCGCGCUUAACACAUGCAAGUCGAACGAGAAAGCACCUUCGGGUGCGAGUAAAGUGGCGUACGGGUGAGUAACACGUGGAUUAUCUACCUUUUAGUGGGGGAUAACCCUGGGAAACCGGGGCUAAUACCGCAUAAUCUCGCAAGAGGAAAGCAGCAAUGCGCUGAAAGAGGAGUUCGCGGCUGAUUAGCUAGAUGGUGGGGUAAUGGCUCACCAUGGCGAAGAUCGGUAGCCGGCCUGAGAGGGCACACGGCCACACUGGCACUGAAACACGGGCCAGACUCCUACGGGAGGCAGCAGUGGGGGAUCUUGCACAAUGGGGGAAACCCUGAUGCAGCGACGCCGCGUGAGCGAUGACGCCUUUCGGGGUGUAAAGCUCUUUCGACGGGAACGAUAAUGACGGUACCCGAAGAAGAAGCUGCGGCUAACUACGUGCCAGCAGCCGCGGUAAUACGUAGGCUGCAAGCGUUGUUCGGAUUUACUGGGCGUAAAGAGUGCGUAGGCGGUGCUCCAAGUUUGGCGUGAAAUCUCCCGGCUUAACCGGGAGGGUGCGUCGAAAACUG